CCCGCGUUUGAUUGCGUGAAGAAGGUACGUUACGAAUUCUCCCCGCUUCCGAUUUUUUUCAACUUAAUAUAUGCAUAUGUUUAAUUUGUUUUAUACUAUGUGUUACUAUGUCCAAUUCCCCACUCCAAUUUUCUCUCAUUCAUCAGUUGUACAAAUCUCAAAUUUAUUUGGGUAAGUUUUUCAGUUAUUCAGUGCUUCUAUAUCUUUUCCGAUUCUCCACUCCAAUUUACUGUCUCGAUUUUGCUUUACUUUGUCUCCAAAGGAUGUACAGAAAGCUAAAAUGUUUCACUUUUUCGUCGCUAUAAUGUUUGAUCUGAUUAGUUCUUUCGAGUUCCUUCUUGAUGGUCUCUUAGCUCUUUGUGAUUCUGACAUUAAAAGUAAACACAAUUUUAAAUGUGUAUCUUAGUUUUCUACUGUUUUGAUACAAUUUCUAGCUAAGAUUUCUACAUGUACCUUACUAACUGCUUGACUUGCACAUGCUUUAUGUUUCUUUAAUGAACUUAAUUUUUAUAGCCAUUAAUUAGUGCAAAAGUUAGACCAUCCUACAUAAAUCUAAGAUAUCAAGUGGAUUGUGCAUAUAAGUUGUUUGAUAAUAUGCCACAAUUAACUUAUUUAAUGUUUUCAGUUGUCCUUUUUCUUUUGGGAAUGCAACAUGAUUAUUUGUAGUACAACUAAAGACAUAUAUGGGAGCAUGUCAAUUUAUCUUUAUCUUGGUGAUUUUGGUUCUACGGUUCAAGAUGUGGGCUAGUAUGUUUGUCAAUUAUCAUCUUCCACAAACCGUGCAAGACAAGUACAAGACUACCAGAGGUGCACGAAAAUUGAGGGUAUUAUUACAAAAAAUCAUUAAUGAUACAAAAGUCUUUGAUCAGCGCCAAAUUGCAUUUAAAAGAGAUUUUCCAUAAGUGAGGUUUUUCUCAUGUAAUUCUGAACAGAAUACUAACACAAAAAGAAGCUUUGAUGAA